CGGACAAGUAAGUCCGCUGUGAAAUGUUGGGGCUCAACCCUAACGCUUGCAGUGGAUACUGCUAGUCUUGGGAACGGGGGAGGAUCGGAGUACUUCCGGGGUAGGGGUAAAAUCUGUUGAUCCUGGAAGGACUACCAGUGGCGAAGGCGCCGAUCCAAAACGUGUCCGACGGUGAGGGACGAAAGCUGGGGGAGCGAACGGGAUUAGAUACCCCGGUAGUCCCAGCUGUAAAUAAUGCAGACUUUGGUGUUACAUAUGAGUAAUCAUAUGUAGUGCUGUAGCGUAGGUGUUAAGUCUGCCGCCUGGGGA
rnacentral:rRNA from 1 species